UACGGGGGGGGUAAGCGUUGUUCGGAAUUACUGGGCGUAAAGGGCUCGUAGGCGGCCAACUAAGUCAGACGUGAAAUCCCUAGGCUCAACCUAGGAACUGCGUCUGAUACUGGAUGGCUUGAAUCCGGGAGAGGGAUGCAGAAUUCCAGGUGUAGCGGUGAAAUGCGUAGAUAUCUGGAGGAAUACCGGUGGCGAAGGCGGCAUCCUGGACCGGCAUUGACGCUGAGGAGCGAAAGCCAGGGGAGCAAACGGG
rnacentral:rRNA from 1 species